rnacentral:rRNA from 1 species
GUCGUUCGGCACAUGCGACCUCAGCUCGGGUGAGACUACCCCCUGGAUUAAAGCAUUUUAAUAAGGGGAGGAAAAAAAA